GUUCAAUGUUCCUCUCACAGCUGGUGAAUUUGCAGUUUUGAAGACAGCUUGCAGUUUUGCAUUGCCCCAUAUCAUGGGUUGGGAUCGGUUGACUGCCAAGCUGCCCACAGAGAAGGUGGGAAGUCCACCGAAAGCGAAUCAGCAAGAGCCUGGUUUAGAGUGGGAUAGGUGAAGCUAUCCGCCUCAUGCUUUGUAGAUUUAGAGCAUUGACUUUUUGGUUUUGCCGA
rnacentral:misc_RNA from 1 species